rnacentral:rRNA from 1 species
UACGUAGGGGGCAAGCGUUGUCCGGAAUCACUGGGCGUAAAGCGCGCGCAGGCGGUCUUUCACGUCCGGGGUGAAAGCCCUGGGCUCAACCUGGGAAUUGCAGUGGAUACUGGCAAGCUAGAGUGCGGUAGAGGAUGGUGGAAUUCCCGGUGUAGCGGUGAAAUGCGUAGAGAUCGGGAGGAACACCCGUGGCGAAGGCGGCCAUCUGGACCAGCACUGACGCUGAGGCACGAAAGCGUGGGGAGCAAACAGG